rnacentral:rRNA from 1 species
UACGUAGGGUCCGAGCGUUGUCCGGAAUUACUGGGCGUAAAGAGCUCGUAGGUGGUUUGUCGCGUUGUUCGUGAAAACUCACAGCUCAACUGUGGGCGUGCGGGCGAUACGGGCAGACUAGAGUACUGCAGGGGAGACUGGAAUUCCUGGUGUAGCGGUGGAAUGCGCAGAUAUCAGGAGGAACGCCGGUGGCGAAGGCGGGUCUCUGGGCAGUAACUGACGCUGAGGAGCGAAAGCGUGGGGAGCGAACAGG